UAAAUAUAAGACCUUUACAAGAUAACUUUUUUUAUUGAUCUGAUUUUAAAAUGAUCAAACCUUUCACUUCUUCAAUUUACAAUGCAUCAAAAACUACUUUGGCUACGUAAAUUCUCUGUACAAUUGUGAAACCAUAUUAUAUAACGACUGCAUCUUAAAAUGUUAAUUUUAUGUAUAAAAAUAUGGUAUUAUAUGUAUAAAAAUACAAAAAAAUUCCGUCCCGCGUACUCUCCGAUUUUUUUCCGCUUUUUCAAUAAAUCGCUAGGCCCGGGUGUGCCGCACGCGUAGCGCCUAGCGAGUUUCCGAACAAGGAUUCUAUCUACUGGCUUCUUUGAUGCAAACGACAAAGUAUGGUUUUUUUUUUGUGAAUGAAUGCAGGAUAUCUUGAAGCGCAUGGUUUUGUUUUGCAAAGCCGCUGUUGAGGUUCCUUGGUAUGUUCCAGUGGAGGUGUCUGCUAUGGAGAUGGCAAUUUGGCUUUCAUCGCAAAUGAUUGGCACACUGCUUUGCUCCCUGUCUACUUGAAAGCCUAUUACCGAGAUCACGGAUUAAUGAAAUACACACGUUCUGUUCUUGUAAUCCACAACAUUGCUCACCAGGGUCGAGGACCGGUAGAUGAUUUCUCAUACGUGGAUCUACCGGGGCAUUACUUGGACAGCUUCAAGCUGUACGACCCUGUGGGAGGAGAGCACUUCAACAUCUUCGCGGCUGGUCUUAAAGCUGCGGAUAGAGUUCUCACCGUUAGGCAUGGAUACUCCUGGGAGGUUAAGACCUUAGAAGGAGGCUGAGGUCUUCACAACAUCAUAAGCGAAAACGACUGGAAGUUUAGAGGCAUUGUGAACGGUAUCGACACAAAAGAAUGGAACCCAAAAUUUGAUCUUCACCUGCACUCUGACGACUA